UGGAAGUAAAAGUCGUAACAAGGUCUCCGUUGGUGAACCAGCGGAGGGAUCAUUACCGAGUUUACAACUCCCAAACCCCUGUGAACAUACCUUAUGUUGCCUCGGCGGAUCAGCCCGCGCCCCGUAAAAAGGGACGGCCCGCCGCAGGAACCCUAAACUCUGUUUUUAGUGGAACUUCUGAGUAUAAAAAACAAAUAAAUCAAAACUUUCAACAACGGAUCUCUUGGUUCUGGCAUCGAUGAAGAACGCAGCAAAAUGCGAUAAGUAAUGUGAAUUGCAGAAUUCAGUGAAUCAUCGAAUCUUUGAACGCACAUUGCGCCCGCCAGUAUUCUGGCGGGCAUGCCUGUUCGAGCGUCAUUUCAACCCUCAAGCCCAGCUUGGUGUUGGGAGCUGCAGUCCUGCUGCACUCCCCAAAUACAUUGGCGGUCACGUCGAGCUUCCAUAGCGUAGUAAUUUACACAUCGUUACUGGUAAUCGUCGCGGCCACGCCGUUAAACCCCAACUUCUGAAUGUUGACCUCGGAUCAGGUAGGAAUACCCGCUGAACUUAAGCAUAUCAAUAAGCGGAGGA
rnacentral:ncRNA from 2 species